rnacentral:lncRNA from 1 species
GGGGAGGGCUGGGGGAGAGAAGGGGGUGGCAGCACCUGAAUUAUUCAGCAAAUGCAAAAUAAAAUGAAAUAAAACGAAAUUCAAGAAACUGCAGAGGGGAGGGAGGUGGAGGGGACCGCGACCCCGCGGCCUAACGCUGAGCAAUGCCCCUCAGAGCCCUGCAGCCCCGCGCUGCUCCACCACCACCCCACCUUCUUAUAUUCUUCCUCCUUUUAUAUCCCUUUUUUUUUUUUUCCCCUCCACCUUUUUUUUUUUUCCCUCCUCUUGUAGGCAGAGGUGCCUGACAGCCCAUCGCCUACCCUGCGUCCCACUGGGGCCCUUCUCCCAUCACUUCUCCUAUCCUCUUUCCCAUCCUUUUCUCCCAAGCUCUUUCUCCUACCCAAUUUCCCAUCUCCUUUUCCAUCCCUUCUCCAUUCUCUUUUCCCAUCCCUUCUCCUGAACAUUUCUCCCAUCUCUUUCUCCUAUCCUUUUUUCCAUCCUCUUUUCCCAUCCUUUUCCCCAUCCCUUUUCUCAUCGUUCUCCCAUUCCUUCUCCCAUCCCUUCUCCUCAUCUCUUUCCCCCAUUCCUUUAACCCAUUCCUUUUCCCAUCCCUUUCCCAUCCCCUGUCCAAUUCCUUUUCCCAUCUCUUUUCCCCAUUCCUUUUUCCCAUCCCUUUUCCGUUCCCCUUCCAUUCUCUUCUUCCAUUUCCUCUCCCAUCCUUCUUCUUCCCAUCCUCUCUCCCACCCCCUCUCUCUGCAGCUGGAGCCCACCCACUGCCCUCACCCCUCCAUCCCACAGCUGACCCAGUGUUCCCAGCACUGGCCAAAGCCAACCCUUACUGGAGGUUCCUCAUGGCCUGGGGCCCCCAAAUCUCUUUGCAGCUCCGUGAGCAGACUUUCACCUCCACGAUGGGAGCGGAGAUGAUGGUUCGGGGUCCGUGGGACAGCUCCUUGCACCCCCCUCCAGGGAUGCUGCAGGUAUUUGGGGACAGCCCUAUGGGGCGCGCUGCGGAUGCCGCAAGGAUCCCGUCGGGUUGCGCCGUGCCAAUAAAGCUCUUUUCGCUGCGGGUUCCCGCAUCCUCUCCUUUGUUCACAGAGAUUUCUCGCUCUUCU